UGAGUAACGCGUAUCCAACCUACCCAUUACUAGGGAAUAACCCAGCGAAAGUUGGCCUAAUGCCCUAUGUAGUCGUUUGAUCGCCUGAGAUUUCGACGAAAGAUUUAUCGGUAUUGGAUGGGGAUGCGUCUGAUUAGCUUGUUGGCGGGGUAAAGGCCCACCAAGGCAACGAUCAGUAGGGGUUCUGAGAGGAAGGUCCCCCACAUUGGAACUGAGACACGGUCCAAACUCCUACGGGAGGCAGCAGUGAGGAAUAUUGGUCAAUGGGCGAGAGCCUGAACCAGCCAAGUAGCGUGCAGGAUGACGGCCCUAUGGGUUGUAAACUGCUUUUAUAUGGGAAUAAAGUGAGGGACGUGUCCCUUAUUGCAUGUACCAUANGAAUAAGGACCGGCUAAUUCCGUGCCAGCAGCCGCGGUAAUACGGAAGGUCCAGGCGUUAUCCGGAUUUAUUGGGUUUAAAGGGAGCGUAGGCUGUUUGUUAAGCGUGUUGUGAAAUGUAAGAGCUCAACUUUUAGAUUGCAGCGCGAACUGGCAGACUUGAGUGCGCACAACGUAGGCGGAAUUCAUGGUGUAGCGGUGAAAUGCUUAGAUAUCAUGACGAACUCCGAUUGCGAAGGCAGCUUACGGGAGCGCAACUGACGCUAAAGCUCGAAGGUGCGGGUAUCGAACAGGAUUAGAUACCCUGGUAGUCCGCACAGUAAACGAUGGAUGCCCGCUGUUAGCACCUAGUGUUAGCGGCUAAGCGAAAGCAUUAAGCAUCCCACCUGGGGAGUACGCCGGCAACGGUGAAACUCAAAGGAAUUGACGGGGGCCCGCACAAGCGGAGGAACAUGUGGUUUAAUUCGAUGAUACGCGAGGAACCUUACCCGGGCUUGAAUUGCAGAUGUUUAUAUCAGAGAUGAUAUAUUCCCUUCGGGGCAUUUGUGAAGGUGCUGCAUGGUUGUCGUCAGCUCGUGCCGUGAGGUGUCGGCUUAAGUGCCAUAACGAGCGCAACCCCUUUUUUUAGUUGCCAUCAGGUAGUGCUGGGCACUCUAGAGAUACUGCCACCGUAAGGUGUGAGGAAGGUGGGGAUGACGUCAAAUCAGCACGGCCCUUACGUCCGGGGCUACACACGUGUUACAAUGGGUGGUACAGAGAGUUGGUUGUACGCAAGUGCAAUCUAAUCCUAAAAACCAUUCUCAGUUCGGACUGGGG
rnacentral:rRNA from 1 species